rnacentral:rRNA from 1 species
GACGAACGCUGGCGGCGUGCCUAAUACAUGCAAGUCGAACGCCUCUUUUCCCACCGGAGCUUGCUCCACCGGGAAAAGAGGAGUGGCGAACGGGUGAGUAACACGUGGGUAACCUGCCCAUCAGAAGGGGAUAACACUUGGAAACAGGUGCUAAUACCGUAUAACAAUCGAAACCGCAUGGUUUCGUUUUGAAAGGCGCUUUACGGUGCCGCUGAUGGAUGGACCCGCGGUGCAUUAGCUAGUUGGUGAGGUAACGGCUCACCAAGGCCACGAUGCAUAGCCGACCUGAGAGGGUGAUCGGCCACAUUGGGACUGAGACACGGCCCAAACUCCUACGGGAGGCAGCAGUAGGGAAUCUUCGGCAAUGGACGAAAGUCUGACCGAGCAACGCCGCGUGAGUGAAGAAGGUUUUCGGAUCGUAAAACUCUGUUGUUAGAGAAGAACAAGGGUGAGAGUAACUGUUCACCCCUUGACGGUAUCUAACCAGAAAGCCACGGCUAACUACGUGCCAGCAGCCGCGGUAAUACGUAGGUGGCAAGCGUUGUCCGGAUUUAUUGGGCGUAAAGCGAGCGCAGGCGGUUUCUUAAGUCUGAUGUGAAAGCCCCCGGCUCAACCGGGGAGGGUCAUUGGAAACUGGGAGACUUGAGUGCAGAAGAGGAGAGUGGAAUUCCAUGUGUAGCGGUGAAAUGCGUAGAUAUAUGGAGGAACACCAGUGGCGAACGCGGCUCUCUGGUCUGUAACUGACGCUGGCUCGAAAGCGUGGGGAGCAAACAGGAUUAGAUACCCUGGUAGUCCACGCCGUAAACGAUGAGUGCUAAGUGUUGGAGGGUUUCCGCCCUUCAGUGCUGCAGCUAACGCAUUGAGCACUCCGCCUGGGGAGUACGACCGCAAGGUUGAAACUCAAAGGAAUUGACGGGGGCCCGCACAAGCGGUGGAGCAUGUGGUUUAAUUCGAAGCAACGCGAAGAACCUUACCAGGUCUUGACAUCCUUUGACCACUCUAGAGAUAGAGCUUCCCCUUCGGGGGCAAAGUGACAGGUGGUGCAUGGUUGUCGUCAGCUCGUGUCGUGAGAUGUUGGGUUAAGUCCCGCAACGAGCGCAACCCUUAUUGUUAGUUGCCAUCAUUUAGUUGGGCACUCUAGCAAGACUGCCGGUGACAAACCGGAGGAAGGUGGGGAUGACGUCAAAUCAUCAUGCCCCUUAUGACCUGGGCUACACACGUGCUACAAUGGGAAGUACAACGAGUCGCGAAGUCGCGAGGCUAAGCUAAUCUCUUAAAGCUUCUCUCAGUUCGGAUUGUAGGCUGCAACUCGCCUACAUGAAGCCGGAAUCGCUAGUAAUCGCGGAUCAGCACGCCGCGGUGAAUACGUUCCCGGGCCUUGUACACACCGCCCGUCACACCACGAGAGUUUGUAACACCCGAAGUCGGUGAGGUAACCUUUUUGGAGCCAGCCGCCUAAGGUGGGAUAGAUGAUUGGGGUG